UCCCUGGUAGCUCAGCGGUAGAGCAACCGGCUGUUAACCGGUUGGUCGCUGGUUCGAAUCCGGCCCAGGGAGCCA
rnacentral:tRNA from 1 species